GCACUACUGAAGAGUCGCAUACUAGGACAAAACGGCCGUCCAGUGC
rfam:Schistosoma margrebowiei strain Zambia genome assembly, scaffold: SMRZ_scaffold0000223